rnacentral:rRNA from 1 species
GUAGGGUGCGAGCGUUAAUCGGAAUUACUGGGCGUAAAGUGUGCGCAGGUGGCCGCGCAAGUCGAGUGUGAAAUCCCCGAGCCUAACUUGGGAAUUGCGCUCGAAACUACGUGGCUCGAGUGUGGCAGAGGAAGGUGGAAUUCCAGGUGUAGCGGUGAAAUGCGUAGAGAUCUGGAGGAACACCGAUGGCGAAGGCAGCCUUCUGGGCCAACACUGACGCUCAUGCACGAAAGCGUGGGGAGCAAACAGGAUUAGAUACCCUGGUAGUCCACGCCCUAAACGAUGAUGACUAGUUGUUGGGGGAGUUAAAUCCCUUAGUAACGCAGCUAACGCGUGAAGUCAUCCGCCUGGGGAGUACGGCCGCAAGAUUA